GUCCCCGUACCUCAGUAGGAUAGAGGGUUUGCCUCCUAAGCAAAACGUCGCUGGUUCGAUUCCAGUCGGGGACG
rnacentral:tRNA from 3 species